UGGCGGACGGGUGAGUAAUAUAUCGGAACGUACCCAGGAGUGGGGGAUAACGUAGCGAAAGUUACGCUAAUACCGCAUACGACCCAAGGGUGAAAGUGGGGGAUCGCAAGACCUCAUGCUCAUGGAGCGGCCGAUAUCUGAUUAGCUAGUUGGUGGGGUAAAGGCUCACCAAGGCAACGAUCAGUAGCUGGUCUGAGAGGACGACCAGCCACACUGGAACUGAGACACGGUCCAGACUCCUACGGGAGGCAGCAGUGGGGAAUUUUGGACAAUGGGGGCAACCCUGAUCCAGCAAUGCCGCGUGAGUGAAGAAGGCCUUCGGGUUGUAAAGCUCUUUUGUCAGGGAAGAAACGAUCCCCUCUAAUACAGGGGGUUAAUGACGGUACCUGAAGAAUAAGCACCGGCUAACUACGUGCCAGCAGCCGCGGUAAU
rnacentral:rRNA from 1 species